CCUACGGGUGGCUGCAGUGGGGAAUCUUGCGCAAUGGCCGAACGGCUGACGCAGCGACGCCGCGUGGAGGAUGACGCCCUUCGGGGUGUAAACUCCUGUUGCCCGGGACAAACGACCUGUUUCGACAGGUGUGACGGUACCGGGUGAGGAAGCACCGGCUAACUCUGUGCCAGCAGCCGCGGUAAUACAGAGGGUGCGAGCGUUGUCCGGAAUCGCUGGGCGUAAGGGGCGCGCUGGCGGAGGGGUUGGUGAAAGUCCGGGGCUCAACCCCGGAUCGGCCAUGCGAACUGUCCAGCUGGAGCACGGUAGAGGCACAUGGAAUGCCGGGUGUAGCGGUGGAAUGCGUAGAGAUCCGGAAGAACACCGGUGGCGAAGGCGGUGUGCUGGGCCGUAGCUGACGCUGAGGCGCGACAGCGUGGGGAGCAAACAGGAUUAGAUACCCCAGUAGUC
rnacentral:rRNA from 1 species